rnacentral:rRNA from 1 species
AUUGAACGCUAGCGGGAGGCUUUACACAUGCAAGUCGAACGAGUGGCGGACGGGUGAGUAAUAUAUGGGAAUGUGCCCAGUAGAGGGGGAUAACUACUGGAAAGAGUGGCUAAUACCGCAUACUAUCGGAGCGGCCGAUAUGGGAUUAGCUAGUUGGUGGGGUAAAGGCUCACCUAGGCGACGAUCCCUAGCUGGUUUGAGAGGAUGACCAGCCAAAAUGGGACUGAGACACGGCCCAGACUCCUACGGGAGGCAGCAGGGGGGAAUUUUGGACAAUGGGGGCAAGCCUGAUGCAGCCAUGCCGCGUGUAUGAGAAGGCCUUAGGGUUGUAAAGUACUUUUAGCGGGGAGGCGUUACCUGCAGAAUAAGCACCGGCUAACUACGUGCCAGCCGCCGCGGUAAUAC